ensembl:lincRNA uncharacterized LOC102029861
GGGGCCUGCGGGCCUCUCAGCCCUGCGUCUGCUCGCUGCCUCCCCCGCGGUACUCUGCGCUCCGGCUGGGCUGCGAGGUCUGAGCCCACCGAAGCCCGGUCCCGCUGGGUCUGGAGGAGCGGAGCGAACGGAGGCCGUCGCCCUGGGCCCGCGCCUCCUCGCGGCACCGCCGGCCCCGGUCUCGCCUGGCCCCAAGCUGAGCUCCGGCGGACGCAGAGGCUGCAGCACUGACCUAGGGCCCGGGGACCGACGACCGCAGAGGGGACUGCCGCCUGAGGCUGCGGGGGCAGAGAGCCUUCCCGAGCGGAGGCCCGCCGCCCGCCUUCCCCCAGCUCUGCGCGAGCGCUCCUGACUCGGCCUCCUGCGCCCUCUGCGCGGCCGGGCGUGGGGGACACGGCGCGGUACGCCGCCGCACCGUGCAGUCAGCUGAGGCCGGGCUGCAAGGAGCCCGGUGAACAAGCCAGACGCAAGCGUGGCGCGGAGCAAGAAGGCAGACGCAGGAAGCCGGAGAGGGGUCUUUCUCAGUGGGACCGCGAUGUGGGGGGAGAGAGCGGCCGGAAAACGGGGCCAGCUGUGCGAUGCGCAUGCGCCAGCCCCACGCGAGGCGCGUGAACACCGCGUGCUGCAGACUGCUGACGCCAGCGUGGAAACAGGCGAGACGAGGCAGGGGUCUGCCUCCGCGGCGGGAGGUCCUGCGGGAGCGGAGGGCCCGAGGCCGCGUGAACUUCACUCUCCCCAGGCUGAACAGGGUGUUUUUAAAGAAAAAUCCUUCGUUCAGACGUCUUCAAAAUACGCCGUUCAGAAGCCCGCACGUUCUCCUAGUCGCCCAAGAAGCGGCGCGGCGCGGUAGAGAGGGUCCGCGAGGCUUGGAUCCAGCCCGCCCUUCGCACCGUCGCUGUCCAGCCCGCGCUGAAGCUCUUAAAGGAAAACAAAGACAGAUUCUGGGGACCUCGCCUCUGCGGGCUUCACCAACACCCCAAGUUCCCGAUGUCUUCAGCCCCAAACCUUUCCAGGUUUCUGCACGACAAACAAACUAA